rnacentral:rRNA from 1 species
AGUGAACGCUGGCGGUAGGCCUAACACAUGCAAGUCGAACGGCAGCACAGUAAGAGCUUGCUCUUACGGGUGGCGAGUGGCGGACGGGUGAGGAAUACAUCGGAAUCUACUUUUUCGUGGGGGAUAACGUAGGGAAACUUACGCUAAUACCGCAUACGACCUACGGGUGAAAGCAGGGGAUCUUCGGACCUUGCGCGAUUGAAUGAGUCGAUGUCGGAUUAGCUAGUUGGCGGGGUAAAGGCCCACCAAGGCGACGAUCCGUAGCUGGUCUGAGAGGAUGAUCAGCCACACUGGAACUGAGACACGGUCCAGACUCCUACGGGAGGCAGCAGUGGGGAAUAUUGGACAAUGGGCGCAAGCCUGAUCCAGCCAUGCCGCGUGGGUGAAGAAGGCCUUCGGGUUGUAAAGCCCUUUUGUUGGGAAAGAAAAGCAGCAGGUUAAUACCCCGCUGUUCUGACGGUACCCAAAGAAUAAGCACCGGCUAACUUCGUG